AUACGGAGGAUCCGAGCGUUAUGCGGAUUUAUUGGGUUUAAAGGGUGCGCAGGCGGCCAUUUAAGUCAGCGGUUAAAUCGUGGGGCUCAACCCCAUUCUGCCGUUGAUACUGGGUGGAUUGAUUGCGGUCGAGGUUGGCGGAAUUCGUUGUGUAGCGGUGAAAUGCAUAGAUAUGACGAAGAACACCGAUUGCGUAGGCAGCUGACCAGACCGCAAAUGACGCUCAUGCACGAAAGUGCGGGGAUCGAACAGGAUUAGAUACCCUGGUAGUCCGCACAGUAAACGAUGAAUACUUGUUUUCGGCGAUAUAAUGUCGGAGGCAAAGCGAAAGCGAUAAGUAUUCCACCUGGGGAGUACGCCGGCAACGGUGAAACUCAAAUGAAUUGACGGGG
rnacentral:rRNA from 1 species